rnacentral:rRNA from 1 species
UACGUAGGGUGCAAGCGUUAAUCGGAAUUACUGGGCGUAAAGCGUGCGCAGGCGGUUUUUUAAGUCUGUCGUGAAAGCCCCGGGCUCAACCUGGGAAUUGCGAUGGAGACUGCAAGGCUUGAAUCUGGCAGAGGGGGGUAGAAUUCCACGUGUAGCAGUGAAAUGCGUAGAGAUGUGGAGGAACACCGAUGGCGAAGGCAG